UACACUCCUACGGGAGGCAGCAGUGGGGAAUUUUGGACAAUGGGCGAAAGCCUGAUCCAGCCAUGCCGCGUGCAGGAUGAAGGCCUUCGGGUUGUAAACUGCUUUUGUACGGAACGAAACGGCCUUUUCUAAUAAAGAGGGCUAAUGACGGUACCGUAAGAAUAAGCACCGGCUAACUACGUGCCAGCAGCCGCGGUAAUACGUAGGGUGCAAGCGUUAAUCGGAAUUACUGGGCGUAAAGCGUGCGCAGGCGGUUAUGUAAGACAGUUGUGAAAUCCCCGGGCUCAACCUGGGAACUGCAUCUGUGACUGCAUAGCUAGAGUACGGUAGAGGGGGAUGGAAUUCCGCGUGUAGCAGUGAAAUGCGUAGAUAUGCGGAGGAACACCGAUGGCGAAGGCAAUCCCCUGGACCUGUACUGACGCUCAUGCACGAAAGCGUGGGGAGCAAACAGGAUUAGAAACCCUUGUAGUCCCA
rnacentral:rRNA from 1 species